rnacentral:tRNA from 2 species
GGGGACGUAGCUCAGUUGGGAGAGCGGCGCGUUCGCAACGCGUAGGUCGAGGGUUCAAAUCCCUUCGUCUCCACCA